rnacentral:tRNA from 1 species
UCCCUGGUGGCUCAGAGGUUAAAGCGUCUGCCUCCAAUGCAGGAGACCCAGAUUCGAUCCCUGGAUUGGGAA